rnacentral:lncRNA from 1 species
CCCUCCCCCAGCCUUGCUGCCGACUUGCUGUUUGAUCUCAGACUGCUGUGCUAGCAAUCAGCAAGACUCUGUGGGCGUAGGACCCUCUGAGCCAGGUGCGGGAUAUUAAUCUCCUGGUGCGCCGCUUUUUAAGCCCGUCGGAAAAGCGCAGUAUUCGGGUGGGAGUAACCCGAUUUUCCAGGUGCCAUCUGUCACCCCUUUCUUUGACUAGGAAAGGGAACUCCCUGACCCCUUGCGCUUCCCGAGUGAGGCAAUGCCUCACCCUGCUUCGGCUCGGGCACGGUGCGCUGCACCCACUGUCCUGCGCCCACUGUCUGGCACUCCCUAGUGAGAUGAACCUGGUACCUCAGUUGGAAAUGCAGAAAUCACCCAUCUUCGGCGUCGCUCACGCUGGAAGCUGUAGACCGGAGCUGUUCCUAUUUGGCCAUCUUGGCUGUAAUCCCAGGUUCAUCAAAAUAAGAUAUGAUCAAGGUACAAAAGAGUUAAAGAAGCUAUUUAUUUUAAUGUUUCCUUGGAGAGCACACUUGUUACU